rnacentral:rRNA from 1 species
AGUGAACGCUGGCGGUAGGCCUAACACAUGCAAGUCGAACGGCAGCACAGUAAGAGCUUGCUCUUACGGGUGGCGAGUGGCGGACGGGUGAGGAAUACAUCGGAAUCUACUUUUUCGUGGGGGAUAACGUAGGGAAACUUACGCUAAUACCGCAUACGACCUACGGGUGAAAGCAGGGGAUCUUCGGACCUUGCGCGAUUGAAUGAGCCGAUGUCGGAUUAGCUAGUUGGCGGGGUAAAGGCCCACCAAGGCGACGAUCCGUAGCUGGUCUGAGAGGAUGAUCAGCCACACGGGAGCUGAGACACGGUCCAGACUCAUACGGGAGGCAGCAGUGGGGAAUAUUGGACAAUGGGCGCAAGCCUGAUCCAGCCAUACCGCGGGAGUGAAGAAGGCCUUCGGGUUGUAAAGCCCUUUUGUUGGGAAAGAAAAGCAGCAGGUUAAUACCCCGCUGUUCUGACGGUACCCAAAGAAUAAGCACCGGCUAACUUCGU